UACAGAGGUCUCAAGCGUUGUUCGGAUUCAUUGGGCGUAAAGGGUGCGUAGGCGGGUCUUUAAGUCAGGGGUGAAAUCCUGGAGCUCAACUCCAGAACUGCCUUUGAUACUGAGGAUCUUGAGUUCGGGAGAGGUGAGUGGAACUGCGAGUGUAGAGGUGAAAUUCGUAGAUAUUCGCAAGAACACCAGUGGCGAAGGCGGCUCACUGGCCCGAUACUGACGCUGAGGCACGAAAGCCAGGGAGACAAACGGG
rnacentral:rRNA from 1 species